CCCCCCCAAAAGGAGCCAUGCGCCGGUGGGGACGGGAGCUCGAGGCAUGGCUGCGUCUCUUGGUGUUGAGGCGGCCACGGGCGAUGGGCGGCCCAGUUCAUCUUGUUUUGAGGGGGUUGUGCGACGGAGGAGCGGGGUGACCGAGCUGGGAUGCCUCGGGCAUUAAGCGAUCGUGGAGGUGGCCUCGGGCAUUAAGCGACCGAGGAUGUGGCCUCGGGCAUUAAGCGACCGAGGAGGCCUCGGGCAUUAAGCGACCGAGGAGGCCUCGGGCAUUAAGCGACCGAGGAGGUGGCCUCGGGCAUUGAGCGACCGAGGAUGCCUCGGGCAUUGAGCGACCGAGGAGGUGGCCUCGGGCAUUGAGCGACCGAGGAGGCCU
rnacentral:lncRNA from 1 species